rnacentral:other from 1 species
AUUUCUCUGAGAUGUUUGCAAGCGGGCCAGUCCCCUGAGCCGAUAUUUCAUACCACAAGAAUGUGGCGCUCCGCGUUUGGUGAGCAUGCUCGGUUCGUCCGAGAAGCCUUAAAACUGUGACGACACAUUCACCUUGAACCAAGGGUUCAAGGGUUACAGCCUGCGGCGGCAUCUCGGAGAUUCC